GACGAACGCUGGCGGCGCGCUUAACACAUGCAAGUCGAACGGAAAGGCCCUGCUUUUGUGGGGUGCUCGAGUGGCGAACGGGUGAGUAACACGUGAGUAACCUGCCCUUGACUUUGGGAUAACUUCAGGAAACUGGGGCUAAUACCGGAUAGGAGCUCCUGCUGCAUGGUGGGGGUUGGAAAGUUUCGGCGGUUGGGGAUGGACUCGCGGCUUAUCAGCUUGUUGGUGGGGUAGUGGCUUACCAAGGCUUUGACGGGUAGCCGGCCUGAGAGGGUGACCGGCCACAUUGGGACUGAGAUACGGCCCAGACUCCUACGGGAGGCAGCAGUGGGGAAUAUUGCACAAUGGGCGGAAGCCUGAUGCAGCAACGCCGCGUGCGGGAUGACGGCCUUCGGGUUGUAAACCGCUUUCGCCUGUGACGAAGCGUGAGUGACGGUAAUGGGUAAAGAAGCACCGGCUAACUACGUGCCAGCGGCCGCGGUGAUACGUAGGGUGCGAGCGUUGUCCGGAUUUAUUGGGCGUAAAGGGCUCGUAGGUGGUUGAUCGCGUCGGAAGUGUAAUCUUGGGGCUUAACCCUGAGCGUGCUUUCGAUACGGGUUGACUUGAGGAAGGUAGGGGAGAAUGGAAUUCCUGGUGGAGCGGUGGAAUGCGCAGAUAUCAGGAGGAACACCAGUGGCGAAGGCGGUUCUCUGGGCCUUUCCUGACGCUGAGGAGCGAAAGCGUGGGGAGCGAACAGGCUUAGAUACCCUGGUAGUCCACGCUGUAAACGGUGGGUACUAGGUGUGGGGUCCAUUCCACGGGUUCCGUGCCGUAGCUAACGCUUUAAGUACCCCGCCUGGGGAGUACGGCCGCAAGGCUAAAACUCAAAGGAAUUGACGGGGCCCCGCACAAGCGGCGGAGCAUGCGGAUUAAUUCGAUGCAACGCGUAGAACCUUACCUGGGUUUGACAUGGAUCGGGAGCGCUCAGAGAUGGGUGUGCCUCUUUUGGGGUCGGUUCACAGGUGGUGCAUGGCUGUCGUCAGCUCGUGUCGUGAGAUGUUGGGUUAAGUCCCGCAACGAGCGCAACCCUUGUUCACUGUUGCCAGCACGUUAUGGUGGGGACUCAGUGGAGACCGCCGGGGUCAACUCGGAGGAAGGUGGGGAUGACGUCAAGUCAUCAUGCCCCUUAUGUCCAGGGCUUCACGCAUGCUACAAUGGCUGGUACAGAGAGUGGCGAGCCUGUGAGGGUGAGCGAAUCUCGGAAAGCCGGUCUCAGUUCGGAUUGGGGUCUGCAACUCGACCUCAUGAAGUCGGAGUCGCUAGUAAUCGCAGAUCAGCAACGCUGCGGUGAAUACGUUCCCGGGGCU
rnacentral:rRNA from 1 species